GGAAUAAGCUGUGAGAGCCACACUACAGGAAGCUGUCAGGGUUACUGCCGAUUUUUUAUUCUCUUUGGAGGAGAAGAAAACACAGGCUCCUGUCCUCAGUGGAUUCUGUGAUUUGUGAAGCACUGAAAGAGAUCAUAUUUCUGCAGAAAAGGAAUAUCCAAUGGCUUCUGAUUCUUGCCAUCUUGUGGUGUGGUGCUGCACUGCGACCAUCCCUCAGCUCCUCUGCAGAUACAGCAGCUGAAAAACAAUCUGCUUUCAUAAAGGUAUCACUGAAAAAAAAACCAGAG
rnacentral:lncRNA from 1 species